GGUCUGAGAGGAUGAUCCGCCACACUGGGACUGAGACACGGUCCAGACUCCUACGGGAGGCACCAGUGGGGAAUAUUGGACAAUGGGGGCAACCCUGAUCCAGCCAUGCCGCGUGUGUGAAGAAGGCCUUAUGGUUGUAAAGCACUUUAAGCGAGGAGGAGGCUACUUUAGUUAAUACCUAGAGAUAGUGGACGUUACUCGCAGAAUAAGCACCGGCUAACUCUGUGCCAGCAGCCGCGGUAAUACAGAGGGUGCAAGCGUUAAUCGGAUUUACUGGGCGUAAAGCGCGCGUAGGCGGCUAAUUAAGUCAAAUGUGAAAUCCCCGAGCUUAACUUGGGAAUUGCAUUCGAUACU
rnacentral:rRNA from 1 species